rnacentral:rRNA from 2 species
UACGUAGGUGGCGAGCGUUGUCCGGAUUUACUGGGCGUAAAGGGAGCGUAGGCGGAUUCUUAAGUGGGAUGUGAAAUACCCGGGCUUAACCUGGGUGCUGCAUUCCAAACUGGGAAUCUAGAGUGCAGGAGGGGAGAGUGGAAUUCCUAGUGUAGCGGUGAAAUGCGUAGAGAUUAGGAAGAACACCAGUGGCGAAGGCGACUCUCUGGACUGUAACUGACGCUGAGGCUCGAAAGCGUGGGGAGCAAACAGG